rnacentral:misc_RNA from 1 species
GAUGAAGAACGCAGCGAAAUGCGAUAAGUAAUGUGAAUUGCAGAAUUCAGUGAAUCAUCGAAUGUUUGAACGCACAUUGCGCCCGCCAGCAUUCUGGCGGGCAUGCCUGUUCGAGCGUCAUUUCAACCCUCGAGCCCCCCCGGGGGCCUCGGUGUUGGGGGACGGCACACCAGCCGCCCCCGAAAUGCAGUGGCGACCCCGCCGCAGCCUCCCCUGCGUAGUAGCACACACCUCGCACCGGAGCGCGGAGGCGGUCACGCCGUAAAACGCCCAACUUUCUUAGAGUUGACCUCGGAUCAGGUAGGAAUACCCGCUGAACUUAAGCAUAUCAAUAAGCGGAGGA